rnacentral:rRNA from 1 species
AGGACGAACGCUGGCGGCGUGCCUAACACAUGCAAGUCGAACGCGCUCCAUUCGGUAGCAAUACUGAUGAAGAGCGAGUGGCGAACGGGUGAGUAGCACGUGAGCAACCUGCCCCGAAGACCGGGACAACACCGGGAAACCGGUGCUAAUACCGGAUAUCCCUAUCGGACCGCAUGAUCUGAUAAGGAAAUGGAUUCCGCUUCGGGAGGGGCUCGCGGCCUAUCAGCUAGUUGGUGAGGUAACGGCCCACCAAGGCAUCGACGGGUAGCUGGUCUGAGAGGACGAUCAGCCACACUGGGACUGAGACACGGCCCAGACUCCUACGGGAGGCAGCAGUGGGGAAUCUUGCGCAAUGGGCGAAAGCCUGACGCAGCAACGCCGCGUGGAGGACGAAGGCUUUCUGAGUUGUAAACUCCUUUCAGCAGGGACGAUAGUGACGGUACCUGCAGAGAGCACCGGCCAACUACGCGCCAGCAGCCGCGGUAAC